ensembl:lncRNA novel transcript
GAAAAGUUUGCCUGAUGUAAUGGAUCUAGGCGAUGAGUAUCCAUGGCUACCAACACGAGACAGACAACCAGAAAUGAUGUGCGUUGUGACGGAAGUACAUAUCCCUGUUCAGUAUAUACGUAAGCCUCUAGGUCUGACUGUCAGUAUAACCAGCCUGAGCUUCAGCUAUUGCUCCCUAACUGAGAAUGAGAUGCAAGAGAAGUCUCACUAGGAAAGGAGUCAGAGCUACGGGAAUUUUCAAGAGAACUUUAAAAAUUCUUCACUUAAAACUCUCUUUUUAAAAGAAAUCCUCGUGGAGCAUACCAACUACUGAAAUCAGAAAGACUUUUAUCAUUGCAAUUGUAACAAUAUUAAUUAUGCAUAGUUUAUUACUGUAUUAAGUGUAGGUGGAAUCUAUUUCAAGAAAACACAAUAAAGCCUAAACCAAAAUAA